rnacentral:rRNA from 1 species
UGGGGAAUAUUGCACAAUGGGCGAAAGCCUGAUGCAGCAACGCCGCGUGAGGGACGACGGCCUUCGGGUUGUAAACCUCUUUUAGCAAGGAAGAAGCGAAAGUGACGGUACUUGCAGAAAAAGCGCCGGCUAACUACGUGCCAGCAGCCGCGGUAAUACGUAGGGCGCAAGCGUUAUCCGGAAUUAUUGGGCGUAAAGAGCUCGUAGGCGGUUUGUCGCGUCUGCUGUGAAAACCCGAGGCUCAACCUCGGGCCUGCAGUGGGUACGGGCAGACUAGAGUGCGGUAGGGGAGAUUGGAACUCCUGGUGUAGCGGUGGAAUGCGCAGAUAUCAGGAAGAACACCGAUGGCGAAGGCAGAUCUCUGGGCCGUAACUGACGCUGAGGAGCGAAAGGGUGGGGAGCAAACAGGCUUANAUACCCUGGUAGUCCACCCGUAAACGUUGGAACUAGUUGUGGGUCCAUUCCACGGAUUCCGUGACGCAGCUAACGCAUUAAGUUCCCCGCCUGGGGGAGUACGGCCGCAAGG